UACGUAGGGGCCAAGCGUUGUCCGGAUUUAUUGGGCGUAAAGAGCUCGUAGGCGGUUGGGCAAGUCGGGUGUGAAAACUCCAGGCUCAACUUGGAGAUGCCACCCGAUACUGCUCUGACUUGAGUUCGGUAGGGGAGUGGGGAAUUCCUGGUGUAGCGGUGAAAUGCGCAGAUAUCAGGAGGAACACCGGUGGCGAAGGCGCCACUCUGGGCCGAAACUGACGCUGAGGAGCGAAAGCGUGGGUAGCAAACAGG
rnacentral:rRNA from 1 species